rnacentral:rRNA from 1 species
AUUGAACGCUGGCGGCAGGCCUAACACAUGCAAGUCGAGCGGAGCGGCGGACGGGUGAGUAAUACCUAGGAAUCUGCCUGGUAGUGGUGGAUAACGUUCGGAAACGGACGCUAUUACCGCAUCUUAUCAGUUGAGCCUAGGUCGGAUUAGCUAGUUGGUGAGGUAAUGGCUCACAAAGGCUACGAUCCGUAACUGGUCUGGGAGGAGGAUCAGUAACACGGGAACUGAGACACGGUCCAGACUCCUACGGGAGGCAGCAGUGGGGAAUAUUGGACAAUGGGCGAAAGCCUGAUCCAGCCAUGCCGCGUGUGUGAAGAAGGUCUUCGGAUUGUAAAGCACUUUAAGUUGGGAGGCGUUACCGACAGAAUAAGCACCGGCUAACUACGUGCCAGCAGCCGCGGUAAUAC